UAAGGAAUAUUGGGCAAUGGGCGAAAGCCUGACCCAGCGACACCGCGUGAGCGAGGAAGGCCUUCGGGUUGUAAAGCUCUAACACAUGUUAGGAAUAUGCACGGUAAUAAGAAGACUGUGUGUAAGACAAAGGCGUGAGAUGAAGUCAUUGCUAACUCUGUGCCAGCAGCAGCGGUAAUACAGAGAUGGCGACCGUUGUUCGGAAUCACUGGGCUUAAAGGGCACGUAGGCGGUAAGAAAAGUUGGGUGUGAAAUACUCUGGCUUACCCAGAGAAAAGCAAACAAAACUAUCUUACUUGAGGACGGUAGGGGAGAGUGGAACUCUUGGUGGAGCGGUGAAAUGCGUUGAUAUCAGGAGGAACGCCGGAGGUGAAAACGACUCUCUAGACCGGAACUGACGCUGAGGUGCGAAAGCCAGGGGAGCAAACG
rnacentral:rRNA from 1 species